GACGAACGCUGGCGGCGUGCCUAAUACAUGCAAGUCGAGCGAACAGACGAGGAGUUUGCUCCUCUGACGUUAGCGGCGGACGGGUGAGUAACACGUGGAUAACCUACCUAUAAGACUGGGAUAACUUCGGGAAACCGGAGCUAAUACCGGAUAAUAUAUUGAACCGCAUGGUUCAAUAGUGAAAGACGGUUUUGCUGUCACUUAUAGAUGGAUCCGCGCCGCAUUAGCUAGUUGGUAAGGUAACGGCUUACCAAGGCAACGAUGCGUAGCCGACCUGAGAGGGUGAUCGGCCACACUGGAACUGAGACACGGUCCAGACUCCUACGGGAGGCAGCAGUAGGGAAUCUUCCGCAAUGGGCGAAAGCCUGACGGAGCAACGCCGCGUGAGUGAUGAAGGUCUUCGGAUCGUAAAACUCUGUUAUUAGGGAAGAACAAAUGUGUAAGUAACUAUGCACGUCUUGACGGUACCUAAUCAGAAGGCCACGGCUAACUACGUG
rnacentral:rRNA from 1 species